UUUGAAACUAUCAUUUUUUAUCUGUGUAAAUGAAGCAUACAUGUAGUUGAUAAAAUGAAAGUACAGAAUGUCUCCAAUACCUUAAUUAUUCAGGUUGGGAAUAUUCUUCAUUUUGCUUCACCAAUUGGGUAAAAAAGGUGUAUUUAUUGAUGUAAAAUGAUGUGAUCAAUGAAGCUAAACUUGUAUGCAUAGCACUUUUUAUUGGAAUCUCAAUUUGUAUCUCAAUAUGUAUUGUUUAGAGACAACUUGAGUGUAAGCACAACUUGUGUGAAAUAUUUACUGAAAACGUAGUAGAAUGUAGUGUGAAGAGUUGGAGAACUGGUUUUUUUUUUUAUUAUUAUUUAUAAUUUUAUACCUCUUGAGAAAAAGAAUAAUCUUGAAUACCUUAAUAUAUUAUAGAUUCCAAUUUUUCAUUCAAUCUUACCACUUUUUCCCUUUACAGUGGAAUCAGUUUGUUGUUAUUUUGCCCUGUGAUUCAGGAAAUAUUUGUGGAUUAGACACAAAUUAGAUCUUGCAUAGAAACAAACCAAGUUUUAAUUCAUACUAUAUAUACGUUAUUACACAUGCACACCAUUUUGUUGAUUACAUGCUUUGCUCAUAGUUUUUGUUAACAAGUGCAAUGUUAAGAGAGACGAUGUACCAGUUCAUAUUUUUAUUGGGAAAAAUCGAAGUGUAAGCAGUAGAAAUCAUGUGUAGAGACUUCUUUAAAUAAUCAAGAGUUUUGUGGACGUUUUACAAGACUGUGUGUAUGGGUGUUUUGUAUGGGAAGCUACUUUACUUCCUUAUUCUACAUGAGAGAUCGUUCCUUGUUGAUGGAUAUUCCACAAUUAAUAUAUAUAAUGCAUUUAUAUCUCCAUUUUGUUAACGGUAUGGGAAUUGUUGCACUACCCUUUAAAUUCUGUACAAUAUUAUUCGGUAUGUCAAUUUUAUUAAAUAUUUCCAAGUUUGUUGGAUUUGUAAAUAAAACGGAUUUUU
rnacentral:misc_RNA from 1 species